UGGGGAAUAUUGCACAAUGGGGGAAACCCUGAUGCAGCGACGCCGCGUGGGUUAAGAAGUACUUCGGUACGUAAAGCCCUAUCAGCAGGGAAGAAAAUGACGGUACCUGAUUAAGAAGCCCCGGCUAACUACGUGCC
rnacentral:rRNA from 1 species